rnacentral:tRNA from 1 species
GUUUUAAUAAUUUAAAUAAAAUAUUGGUCUUGUAAACCAAAAAUGAGAUACAUCUCUUAAAACU